UCUUGGUCAAUCGGGGAAGUCCUGAUCCAGCCAUCCCGCGUGUGUGUUGAUGGCCUUCCGUUUGUAUCGUACUUUUGGCACAGAAUAUCAGGUACCUCCUCCUACGAGGUACUCCUGACGGCAUCUGCAGAAUAAGCACCGGCUAACUACGUGCCAGCAGCCGCGGUAAUACGUAGGGUGCAAGCGUUAAUCGGAAUUACUGGUCGUAAAGCGUGUGUAGGCGGUUCGGAAAGAAAGAUGUGAACUCCCAGGGCACAACCUUGGAACUGCAUGUUUAACUGCCGAGCUAGAGUAUGUCAGAGGGGGGUAGAAUUCCACGUGUAGCAGUGAAAUGCGUAGAUAUGUGGAGGAAUACCGAUGGCGAAGGCAGCCCCCUGGGAUAAUACUGACGCUCAGACACGAAAGCGUGGGGAGCAAAC
rnacentral:rRNA from 1 species